rnacentral:tRNA from 1 species
CGGGGAGUAGCGCAGUCCGGUAGCGCACCUGCUUUGGGAGCAGGAGGCCGGGGGUUCGAAUCCCCCCUCCCCGACUA